AGAUUUUUGGUUAAAGAGUUAUGUAAUAGAAACCGUUUCCCUCCUCUAACCCAUUCCAUUACUUUGUUUCCACUGUAAAAUUUGGGGAAACAAAUCCCCUUUCUUUCCUCUAUCUAUUCUCUCUCCUGUCAUACAACAGAUCACCCCUCAAAAUCCUCAACUUUGAUCGAUCGAAGCCACAAUUUCGCUGAAGAACCCUAAAUUUUCGUACUUCAAAUUUCCAGAAAUCCACAAUCUCAAGGUUUGAUCUCUCACUUUUUUGAUUAAGAACCCUAGAUGUUGAGUUUGUGUUGAAUUUAUAUAAAAUUUGUUUGAUUGAUUGUGUUUUGAUUUUUCUACUGUAUAUCGAAAGAUUGCUAUUUAGGAGGUAUUUUCGAUUCAUGCUCUUAAUUUGAUUUGCGAUCCAUAUUUUUUUGUUUGUGUUGAUUGCUAUUUUCGAUUUAUGGUGUUAAUUUCUAGGGUUUUCUGUCCUAAUUUAUCAUUUUUAUUUGAGUUUUAUUUUUCUCAAUUGAAUCACCUGCUUUUUGUUUCAUGACAUUAUUGCUAACAUGAUAUCAAUUUUCGAUUUUAUGCUUAAAUUAGAUGGUAUAUAUAGCUAUUAUUGCAUGUAAUUGUUGUAUAUUUUGUGUUUUCCCCCAAAUUUCGAUUUAUGCUUAAAUUAGAUGGUAUAAUUUGUUGUUAUUAUUUGGCUUCUUUUAUCAGUAUUGUUGAAAUAAUACUUACUGAUUUUUUUGUUCUGCAAAUUUUGAUUUUAUGCUAUUAUUAUUUGGCUUCUUUUCCCCCAAAUUUGAUUUUAUGCUUACUAGUAACACAAACUGAUGUCUUAGGAUUUCUACUGCUGCAUUUUUUUGUUGGUUAUUUUGUGUUACUCCCCCAAUUUUUUCCAUGAUUUUGGUUUACUUUUGGUGGGUUGAUUGUAUAGUUGGGGAUUUUUUUUGGAUUUUAAGUGCAUUAGGAAGUUGCUUGUUUAGAAUUUUGAUUUCUUCUAAUGAUUUCUAAAAGCUUAAGCAAUUGCAAUAAUAUUCUUCCCUUGAAUUCAUGAAAUCAUAAUCAAAGUAUAGUCCAAUUGUUCAGAUUGGUUAAGAAAAAAUAUGACUGAGACUUGACAGAAACAUUGAGUGGUGGGACUACAAGUCCAUAUUUGCACUAGGUAAGCCAGAAUAUCCCCUUUGCAACGAUUUAGGCAGCUUUAACAAUAGAUACCACACCAAAGCUAAAGUAAAAAUAAAACCAAUUAUACAGACCCUCAGCUUUGGUCCAUAUGACUUCUUCUGUGGGUACUUGAUGAAAAUCAGAUGCAGGAAAAGGAGUAGAUAGUUAAUAUUAUUAGUCAAUCAUAAGAGAAAUAUUCAAAUAAACUAGCUCAUGAUUACUAAUCUCCUUGGGAAAACAUCCCAUACUCAAGUUCUCGAUGUGUUGCAACGCAAUCUUUAUGCAGUUGACUGUAAUCUUGGCUAAUAGAAUAUGUGACAUUCAUCUCGUUCUCUAACGUAUCAUGAAAAUUUUGCCGUUUGUCAGGUUCAAUUUCCAUUUGUUGUGUUUCUUGUACAAUGGCUCGACUUAUGCGUUCUAUAAGGAAGAAAAAACUAUAACAAAUACAAUUAGUAAUUGCAAUGGUUAUUAUUAUGUUGAUGAUGUAUUGGAUGUGGUAUAUAAUUUGCGUUGUUACAAUAAGGGGGGUUCAAAUAAAAGAAAGGAAAAGAAACAAAAAAUUGUUACGAAUGUUAGUAUUGAGAGGGCUUUAUAGGGAGAGUGAUGUGAAAUGCAAGAGUGAGCUUCGCGUUAAUAGAAGAACUUUCAAUAUUAUUUGUGAGAUGCUUAGAGACAUUGGGGGUUUGAGUGGAACAAAAAACAUGUCGCUUCAAGAGAUAGUUGCCAUGUUUUUAUACACGUUGGCUCAUCAUAAGAAGAAUAGGUCUAUUAGACAAUACUUCUUUAGAAGUGGAGAAACCGUGAGCCGACAAUUUCACCUUUGUCUAAGGGAUUUUCUCAAGUUGCAUGAAGUACUACUUUACAAUCCCACACCAAUAUCGGAUGAUUGUGAAGAUGAAAGGUGGAAAUCCUUCAAGAAUUGUUUAGGGGCAUUAGAUGGGACUUACAUUAAUGUAAAUGUGCCUUCACAAGAACGACCAAAGUAGAGAACAAGAAAAGGAACAAUUGCUAUGAAUGUAUUGGGUGUUUGUGCACCUAAUAUGCAAUUUAUUUAUGUUCUUCCUGGUUGGGAAGGUUCGGCCCAUGAUAUGCGUGUACUUCAAAAUGCUCUUUCUAGACCAAACGGUUUUAGGGUACCUCGAGGGUAUACGAAUUGUGAGGGUUUUCUUGCUCCAUAUAGAGGUCAAAGAUACCAUUUAAAAGAAUGGACGGAUCGACAACCCGAAAGUGCCGAGGAAUUCUAUAACAUGAAACAUGCUAGGGCGCGAAAUGUGAUUGAGAGAUGUUUUGGCCUACUUAAAGGAAGAUGGAGUAUACUUAGAAGUCCUUCAUUUUUCCCUAUUCGAACUCAUGGACGUAUCGUGAUGGCUUGUUGCUUAUUGCAUAAUCUAAUUAGAAAAUUCAUGCCUACGGAUGAUAUAAAAGAAGAUGAAUUGAGUGAAUCCGAUGAUGAUUCCAAGAGUGAUUCUGAUGAUGAGAGGGAGUUUAUUACAAGUGUUGCUACUUCAGAUCAUUGGACCAAUUUUAGAAACACAUUAGCCCAAGAUAUGUUUAACGAUUGGAGGGCGAGAGGUAGACAUGGUCAAUAACACAAAAAAUGGAGGCUAGUCAAGCUAAAGGUGAGGCAAGCAAUCGAGGAAGAGGCAAAAAUAAAAGGUAUUGGACGUAUGAAGAAGACGCGGUUCUAAUAAGAUAUUUGCAUGAGUUGAGUUGUGAUCCGAAGUGGAAGUGUGAGAAUGGGUUUAAGAAUGGUUACAUGAAUAAGUUGGAAGAGAUGAUCUAUCGUGUACUUCCUAAUUGCGGCUUGAGAGCGGUGCUUCUGUAUUAUCUGCUUGUGUGGUAACUGCUUCUGUAUUAUAUGCUUCUGUAGUCAAUGUAUAUUUUGUUGCUACCUUGCUGCAUCCCCCUUACAUUAUGCCUUAUAUAUUCUCUCAUUACCUGAAUUUUUAAUGAGUUUACAGCUCAAGACUGAUUUUACUGAUUUUCUCAACAACUGGAUUAGAUAUACACCUUCCGAUAUAUUUUUUUUCUCCUCUUAUCGUAGAUUCUUUUUACAUAGGUAAUACUGAGAAAGGUGAAUGGGUGUAAAAAUGGUUGAUAAUGUAAGAUAGAAAGAUAGAUGGAGUAAAUAGGUGGGUGGAUGGAAGAAAAGUUGGAUAGAGUAAGAGAUUACAAAUGUGUUAUGUGUAUGUAUUUUUAUUACAUUAAUGCCUCCUUUAUAUUGUAUUGAAAUGUUAAUAAAGAGAUCCAAAUGCUGGAAAUAUUUUUUCUUAAA